GUGAACUACCGCUGAGCUAAAGACGCGGCGGCUUCUUCGGAAGUCACUGAAGAUUUGGUUCAGUAGCUUCUUCGGAAGUCUGAGUUCACCAGACUCAGCCCCAGAAAUGGGCGCUACGUUCGAUAGGUCAUGACACCUGCGGUUGACGCAUCAGACCGCUGCUCUGUC
rnacentral:sRNA from 21 species